UACGUAGGGAGCAAGCGUUGUCCGGAAUCAUUGGGCGUAAAGCGCGCGUAGGCGGCCCCGUAAGUCCGCUGUGAAAGUCAAAGGCUCAACCUUUGAAAGCCGGUGGAUACUGUGGGGCUAGAGUCCGGAAGAGGCGAGUGGAAUUCCUGGUGUAGCGGUGAAAUGCGCAGAUAUCAGGAGGAACACCAGUGGCGAAGGCGGCCCCCUGGGCCGCUCCUGACGCUGAGACGCGAAGGCUAGGGUAGCGAACGGG
rnacentral:rRNA from 1 species